UUAGAAUUUCUCUCUCCCCUAUUAUCCGAUUAAUCACGUUGCUCUCUCAAUCCAAAAACCCUAGGAAGAAAUCCCCAAUUAAUUGGCGCUCUUCCACCAGUUCUCUUUGCCACCAAUUUUCGAUUUCUAGCGUCGCUACCGGUUCUUGAUUCCACCAGUUUUCUCCGUCGAAUUGCUUGAUUCAAGUUUGAAAAUUGCUUGACUCGCGCUUAUUACAAUUGUUAGAAAAAGGAAGGCAAACGAAGAUCCUGCAGAAGAGGACUUUAGAAAUAGAGUUAUGUUUGUCAUUCAGCACAUUGAGAUUUAGAACAUUGAUCACACAUAAGCAAUUGUUAGUAUAAGCAAUUGCUGACUCACACACAAGCAAAUCAUCAAAUGUAACCAAGUGAAAUUGUGGUUUCAAAAUUAA